rnacentral:rRNA from 1 species
ACGAGCACUUGAUUCUUCGGAUGAAGGUGCUGAGUGGCGGACGGGUGAGUAACGCGUGGGUACCUGCCUCAUACAGGGGGAUAACAGUUAGAAAUGACUGCUAAUACCGCAUAAGGCCGCAUGGCAAAAACUCCGGUGGUAUGAGAUGGACCCGCGUCUGAUUAGGUAGUUGGUGGGGUAACGGCCUACCAAGCCAACGAUCAGUAGCCGACCUGAGAGGGUGACCGGCCACAUUGGGACUGAGACACGGCCCAAACUCCUACGGGAGGCAGCAGUGGGGAAUAUUGCACAAUGGGGGAAACCCUGAUGCAGCGACGCCGCGUGAGCGAAGAAGUAUUUCGGUAUGUAAAGCUCUAUCAGCAGGGAAGAAAAUGACGGUACCUGACUAAGAAGCACCGGCUAAAUACGUGCCAGCAGCCGCGGUAAUACGUAUGGUGCAAGCGUUAUCCGGAUUUACUGGGUGUAAAGGGAGCGUAGACGGCUGUGUAAGUCUGAAGUGAAAGCCCGGGGCUCAACCCCGGGACUGCUUUGGAAACUAUGCAGCUAGAGUGUCGGAGAGGUAAGUGGAAUUCCCAGUUAGCGGUGAAAUGCGUAGAUAUUGGGAGGAACACCAGUGGCGAAGGCGGCUUACUGGACGAUGACUGACGUUGAGGCUCGAAAGCGUGGGGAGCAAACAGGAUUAGAUACCCUGGUAGUCCACGCCGUAAACGAUGACUACUAGGUGUCGGGGAGAAACUCUUCGGUGCCGCAGCAAACGCAAUAAGUAGUCCACCUGGGGAGUACGUUCGCA